GACACUCUUAAUUUAAGAGUGUCGAGGUCCCGCAGAAACCGACACUCUUAUGUAAUUUACCCUAAUCCCCAAUCCUCUUCUACCGUCGCGCGUCUCCUACCCACUCUGCUUGCCAGUCCGCCCGCCGUCUGCUCGUUUUGACCUCCGCUGCGCGCGCUCCCUGUCCGGCGGUGCAGAAUCACCCAGCGGCGCGCGCUCCCUGUCCGGUCAUGGUGGGGGCCGGCGGCGUAGGGCUUCGGGCAGCCAUCGGCCUCGCCAAGUCGGGCGGCGAGCGGCCUCGCCAAGCUGGACACCGGGCGGCCAUCGCUGAGCCGGGCGGCCUCGCCGAGCCAGGCGACCUCGCCGAGCCGGGCGGCCUCGCCGAGCUCUAAGCUCCGGGCCGCGCAGUGCCUCGCCGAGCCAGGCGGCCUCACCAAGCCGGACGCCAGGCGGCCAUCAUUGAGCCGGGCGGCCUCGCCGAACUCCAAGCUCCGAGCGGCGCAGUGCAUCACCCAGAUCUUCCCCACUCGCUCGCACACCGUUGCGGCACAGGGUUCUGGCUCACAUCAUGCUAGUCCGCCUCCGGAUCAGAGCACGUUUAUGGACUUAUUGAUGAACACAAGUGGCGGCGGCUCCAAUGACCCACCAACGGAAUGAAUUAAUAUGGAGGCUUGUGUGGAACUUACUAUCAUUGCGUUUUGUAUGAACUUGAACUUGUUUCAAAUGGAUUUGAACUUCUUUCUUAUGGAUUUGAACUUGUAUAAAUAUUGAAUAUGGUGCUUGUGUUAUGAUAUAUUGAAUAUGGUGCUUGUGUUGUGAUAUAUUGAA